rnacentral:snRNA from 1 species
GUGCUUGCUUCGGCAGCACAUAGACUAAAAUUGGAANGAUACAGAGAAGAUUAGCAUGGCCCCUGCCCAAGGAUGACACGCAAGUUCGUGAAGCAUUCCAUAUUUUU